rnacentral:rRNA from 1 species
AUGCAGCCCUGCUGGUCAGAUCCGCUGGCCGCCAACAGGCGGUAUUUCUUGCCGGCCCGCGAGAGGCUCCUGUCCUUCCUCUCAUCUCCCAUGGACCGUGAACCGGCCAGCCGUUCCCUCUUGUACGUGGUUAAUCGGUCAACAACACCAACCAAGGGUCAAGAUAAGCAGCGUCGAUCCCUCGUCGAAACGUGCUCUUUCUGCAACGAGUGCACUCUUAGCAUGAGUUGUAUGUCUUGCGGGGACUCCACCUGCCCCAAAUGUUGUCUCCCAUGUCUGGAUUAUGGUUCUGAAACAACAAGUUGUUUGUGGAGACAUCCAUCAAUGGUGCUAAGUUCUCAUCUAUAG